GUUCAUUUGCAUUCGAUUUCACAGCAGCUGCCCGCUGUCAUAAUCAACCCUGUGAAUCUAUAUCUUCAAACUAUUCAACUACUGUCAUAAUCAGCCCUGUGAAUCUUAAUCCAGCAUUGACACAUGAUGCUGUUUUGAUAAAGUUAUCGAAGUGCGCCUUUUUUGGUCACGAUAACCACAUGAUAGUCACCAGGACUUCUAUGUGUCGAUUUAAAAAAAAAAAAAAUCUCUAUCAUGCACAUAGAUCCGAAAAGUAGCAAAGAUCCGCAUGAUUUUAAAUCAAAAAACAUAUUAGUAAAAUCAGAUCGGUACCAGUUACGUGUUCAUAGCAUUUCAAAAAUCGGUUUCGUGGGUUUGUCCAGAGGCCACUGUAAACUACCCUUUCCAAGUGUGAAAGGGAAUAUCAUAUAGGGUGUUUGAGGGCACAUAAGAAGAUGGAUCUGAAGGUGUGCUUUCAUUUCGAAGGAAUCAGAACCGGAAUCACCAAUUCCGAUGUGAAGUGGAUUGUUUUCCUUGGGAAAGACAUUUCUAAUGACAAUAAUAGCAUUCCAAAGAACAUCUUUGUUAGAAAAAAGAGGAAGUGGUGCUUCAUGGUGGAGUUACUUUUCAAGAUGGUUUUGUUUCAAGGUGGAGUUACUUGAAAGAUGGUUUUGUUUUAGUCUUUUGAUUGAUUUGUAAAGUAAGCAAUGAAUGAAUAAUAAAUGCCAAAAAUUGAUAUCAAUGGUGGCAUUUCAAAGAACAUCUUUGUUAGAAAAGGAGGUGGUGGGCCUCAAGGUGGAGAUAUUUUUCAUGAUGUUUUGGUUUUAGUCUUUUGAUUAUGUAUUAAAGUAAGCAAUUAAUGAAUCAAUAAUGAAUACCAUUUUCGAGGAUUUAUAUU